rnacentral:rRNA from 1 species
CCUACGGGAGGCAGCAGUGGGGAAUAUUGGACAAUGGGGGCAACCCUGAUCCAGCCAUGCCGCGUGAGUGAUGAAGGCCUUCGGGUUGUAAAGCUCUUUCGACGGGGACGAUGAUGACGGUACCCGUAGAAGAAGCCCCGGCUAACUUCGUGCCAGCAGCCGCGGUAAUACGAAGGGGGCGAGCGUUGUUCGGAAUUACUGGGCGUAAAGGGCGCGUAGGCGGCGCACCAAGUCAGGCGUGAAAGCCCUGGGCUUAACCCAGGAAUUGCGUUUGAGACUGGUGUGCUGGAGUGCAGGAGAGGUCGGCGGAAUUCCCAGUGUAGAGGUGAAAUUCGUAGAGAUUGGGAAGAACACCGGUGGCGUAGGCGGCCGACUGGACUGUAACUGACGCUGAGGCGCGAAAGCGUGGGGAGCAAACAGGAUUAGAUACCCUAGUAGUC